rnacentral:tRNA from 1 species
GGAGAAUUAGCUCAGCUGGGAGAGCAUCUGCCUUACAAGCAGAGGGUCGGCGGUUCGAACCCGUCAUUCCCCACCA